rnacentral:rRNA from 1 species
AUUCGCCCUUAGAGGUUGAUCCUGGCUCCUUACGAACGCUGGCGGCGUGCCUAACACAUGCAAGUCGAACGAGGGUUUGGAAAGCUUGCUUUCCGAAACCUAGUGGCGGACGGGUGAGUAACGCGUGAGUAACCUGCCUUUCAGAGGGGAAUAACGUUUUGAAAAGAACGCUAAUACCGCAUAACGUACAGUUACCGCAUGGUAGCAGUACCAAAGGAGCAAUCCGCUGAAAGAUGGACUCGCGUCCGAUUAGCUAGUUGGUGGGGUAAAGGCCUACCAAGGCGACGAUCGGUAGCCGGACUGAGAGGUUGAACGGCCACAUUGGGACUGAGACACGGCCCAGACUCCUACGGGAGGCAGCAGUGGGGGAUAUUGCACAAUGGGGGAAACCCUGAUGCAGCAACGCCGCGUGUGGGAAGAAGGUUUUCGGAUUGUAAACCACUGUUCUUGGUGAAGAUAAUGACGGUAACCAAGGAGAAAGCUCCGGCUAACUACGUGCCAGCAGCCGCGGUAAUACGUAGGGAGCAAGCGUUGUCCGGAUUUACUGGGUGUAAAGGGUGCGUAGGCGGCUAGGCAAGUCAGACGUGAAAACCAUGGGCUCAACCUGUGGACUGCGUUUGAAACUGUUUAGCUUGAGUGAAGUAGAGGUAGGCGGAAUUCCCGGUGUAGCGGUGAAAUGCGUAGAGAUCGGGAGGAACACCAGUGGCGAAGGCGGCCUACUGGGCUUUAACUGACGCUGAGGCACGAAAGCAUGGGUAGCAAACAGGAUUAGAUACCCUGGUAGUCCAUGCCGUAAACGAUGAUUACUAGGUGUGGGGGGUCUGACCCCCUCCGUGCCGGAGUUCACACAAUAAGUAAUCCCCCCUGGGGAGUACCGCCGCAUGGUUGAAACUCAAAGGAAUUGACGGGGGCCCGCACAAGCUUUGGAGUAUGUGGGUUAAUUCGAAGCAACGCGGAGAACCUUACCAGGUCUUGACAUCCGACUAACGCAGUCGAGAUACAUUAGGGGCCUUUCGGGGAAAGUCAAGACAGGUGCUGCAUGGUUGUCGUCAGGUCUUGUCGAGAGAUGUUGGGAUACCUCCCGCAACGAGCGCAACCCUUGUCAUUAGCUGCUACGGUAAGAGCACUCUAAUGAGACUGCCGUUGAGGAAACCGAGGAAGAUGGGGACGACUUCAAAUCAUCAUGCCCCUUAUGACCUGGGGUGCUCACCUACUACAAUGGGCGCUUCCAGAGGGAAGCAAUACCCGAGGAGGAGCCAAACCCUAAAAACGGUCCCCGUUCCCAUUUUAGGCUGAAACUCGCCUACAUAAAAGUGGAAUUGCUACUAAUCGCGGGAUAAUCUUGCCCCGUUGAAUAUACUCCCCGGGCCUUUUCAACACGGCGGGUUAACCAUGGGGAGCGGGGAAUACCCAAAGCAGGGGUUUCCCCCUAAGGGGACCCUUUCCAGGGGGGAUUUGCCACUGGGGGGAAAACGUAAAAAGGAGACCCCAAAGGCAAAUCCCCCCCCCUAAAUGGGAAUGCCCUUUAUGGGGGGGUUUUUAUUAAAGGGGCCGGUUUUAAAAAAAGGGUUUUGAAA